ACAAGCGGUGGAGUAUGUGGUUUAAUUCGAUGACAACGCGAAGAACUUACCUGGUCUUGACAUCCCGGAGACCCUUAGGAAACUAGGGGGUGCUUCCAUCUGGAAGAAUCUGGAGACAGGUGCUGCAUGGCUGUCGUCAGCUCGUGUCGUGAGAUGUUGGGUUAAGUCCCGCAACGAGCGCAACCCUUGCCUUUAGUUGCCAGCAGUUCGGCUGGGCACUCUAAAGGGACUGCCGGUGUUAAACCGGAGGAAGGUGGGGAUGACGUCAAGUCCUCAUGGCCUUUAUGACCAGGGCUACACACGUACUACAAUGGCCGAUACAAAGGGCAGCGACACUGCGAGGUGAAGCCAAUCCCGUAAAAUCGGUCUCAGUCCGGAUUGGAGUCUGCAACUCGACUCCAUGAAGUUGGAAUCGCUAGUAAUCGUGGAUCAGCAUGCCACGGUGAAUACGUUCCCGGGCCUU
rnacentral:rRNA from 1 species